rnacentral:rRNA from 1 species
CGAGUGGCGGACGGGUGAGUAAUGUCUGGGAAACUGCCUGAUGGAGGGGGAUAACUACUGGAAACGGUAGCUAAUACCGCAUAACGUCGCAAGACCAAAGAGGGGGACCUUCGGGCCUCUUGCCAUCGGAUGUGCCCAGAUGGGAUUAGCUAGUAGGUGGGGUAACGGCUCACCUAGGCGACGAUCCCUAGCUGGUCUGAGAGGAUGACCAGCCACACUGGAACUGAGACACGGUCCAGACUCCUACGGGAGGCAGCAGUGGGGAAUAUUGCACAAUGGGCGCAAGCCUGAUGCAGCCAUGCCGCGUGUAUGAAGAAGGCCUUCGGGUUGUAAAGUACUUUCAGCGGGGAGGAAGGGAGUAAAGUUAAUACCUUUACUCAUUGACGUUACCCGCAGAAGAAGCACCGGCUAACUCCGUGCCAGCAGCCGCGGUAAUACGGAGGGUGCAAGCGUUAAUCGGAAUUACUGGGCGUAAAGCGCACGCAGGCGGUUUGUUAAGUCAGAUGUGAA